AAAUAAUCAUGAUAAUGAAACUGUUGAUUUCUAUGAUGAUAAUGAAAAUAAAUCUAAAUAUAUUUACGUAAAAAUUGGAACAAAUUUCAAGAUAAAAUGUCAGAUUAAAACUAAAAUUAAUUAUUGUCAAAUACAAAGUCCAAAUGGUACGUAUUAUCAAGUAACUAAUGAAAUAAAAACAUCAAAUAGUUUACAAUAUUUUGGUGAUGGUUAUGACAAUGGUGAUUGUGGUGGUGUCAUUGAAAAUGCUAGUUAUCAAGAUAAUGGUAACUGGACUUGUGUUUAUCGUAUUGGUAAAAAAUCGAAAUUUAAAAAAAUCAUUCCAGUUAUUGUCAGAGAUAUUACUGUCAAUAUUACAAUUGAUGAAUCAUCAUUAAAAAAUUAUACAAAACUCAAAUGCCAUGUGUUUCCAAUUGAUGAAGAAAUUGCUUACUGCCAAUGGGAACAUCCAGCUCGAAAAUCUAUUGAAACAGACGAUGGAAAAUACUCAAUUGAUAUUGAAAAUUUUACAAUUAAAUUUGCCUAUAGAAAUAAGGAAGACGUUGGUCAAUGGAAAUGUAUUGUGAGGCUUAAUGGCUCUGAUAAUAAUUUAUACGAAGCAAUUUAUGAUUUAAAAAUAGAACAAAAUGAAUUACC